rnacentral:rRNA from 1 species
GACAGAGGGUGCAAACGUUGUUCGGAAUUACUGGGCGUAAAGCGUGCGCAGGCGGUUUUGCAAGCCGGAUGUGAAAUCCCCGGGCUUAACCUGGGAAUGGCAUUUGGGACUGCAAGGCUGGAGUGCGGCAGAGGAGACUGGAAUUCCUGGUGUAGCAGUGAAAUGCGUAGAUAUCAGGAGGAACACCGAUGGCGAAGGCAGGUCUCUGGGCUGACACUGACGCUGAGGAGCGAAAGCGUGGGGAGCGAACAGG